rnacentral:rRNA from 1 species
UUUUCUGCCACCGAAUACAUUAGCAUGGGAUAAUGGAAUAGGACCCUGUCCUCCUAUUUUCAGUUGGUUUUGGCAGCGCGAGGACUAGGGUAAUGAUUAAUANGGGAUAGUUGGGGGCAUUAAUAUUUAAUUGUCAGAGGUGAAAUUCUUGGAUUUAUGAAAGAUUAACUUCUGCGAAAGCAUCUGCCAAGGAUGUUUUCAUUAAUCAAGAACGAAAGUUAGGGGAUCGAAGACGAUCAGAUACCGUCGUAGUCUUAACCAUAAACGAUGCCGACCAGCGAUUAGGAGACGUUGAAUACAAAACACCACCAUCGGUGCGGUCGUCCUUGGCGUCGGUCUUUCGGGGCCGGCGCGGGGACGGCUUAGCCCGGUGGCACCGGUGAAUGACUCCCC